rnacentral:lncRNA from 1 species
CUAAUGUUCGAAGGCUGGUCAAUCUGGAAAUCCCUAUUGGCAGGUACUCCAACGAAGAAGUUUUAGCAUUCAGUAAACUCCUCAUGUUCAUUAACUUCCCAAUCCCCGCUGGCAAUUCUCUAAGAUUUCGGCACCGCCUAAUAUCUAGCUUUUGUAAAUUAUAUAAUUCACACAAAGUCUCAGGUUGUCUCUCUAUACACAGUCCAGACAAAUUAAGAUAUUUUAAAUGUAUCAAUUUUCCGACAUUUUCUGGAAUUUCUCUAAUCAAAUUUGGGUCAAAAUAAAAAGGAUAAAAAUAUACGAAUGAUUGCCUUAUAACUAAUGUCCUUAAACACGCCAAUUUACUAAAUAACUCCUGAAGGAUACUACUAUUAAGACUCAGAUUGGAAUAACUUUCAUCAUAAAUUAAGAGGCUACGCAAUCUAUCAAAUUCAAAAAAGGACGUAGGAAAUGAAGCACCUCUUUCAAAAUUUAACCCUAAGUGACGGACUUUCUCACCAAAAGAGUUUAUGACUGAUUCUUUGGUACCAUUAAUUUCUAGCCACAAACAUUCUUUGCUACUUACAAAUUGAGCAAAAUCAUGUACUAUGUCAUGCAUCUUGCAACUCAUAAUAUCAUCAUCAUCAUUUUUCUCAAACUCUUGAAAGAAAGAGCGUGCUGCUAAAAUGUUGAAACAUUCUUCCCCAGUAAUGUCCAUCUCUUCAUAUUCUUCUGCAUUAAGGUAACCUUGAGCCAUCCAUAGUGAAAUUAGUUCCUCUUUAUUCAUAUUGUAGUCUUUUGGAAAGACAGCACAAUAUGAGAAACACCGUUUUACCAUAGAAUUGGAGGGCAAAUCGUUAUAACUCAACAACAAAGGAGCUAAAAGACCUUGCCCAAUCUCUUCUACUUUCCACAUUUCACUCUUUAAAAUUCUUUGCCACUCAUUUACUGUAAUUUUAGAGCGCAAGAGAUUCCCUAUUACCUUUGCAGCAAGAGGCAGGCCUUUGCACUUCAGUGCAAUUUUUCGCCCAAUUGGUUCUAAUUUUUCACAAUCUUCGAAAGAGCGACUGGAAAAUGCCAACCGCUUGAACAACGACCAACAUUCCUCUUCAGCCAAUUGCUUAAUGAAGAUAAUAUUUGUUGAUCCCAUCAUACGUGCAACUGACUCAUUACGUGUGGUAACUAAAAUUUUACUUCCUUGGAGACCAUUCUUUAGACAAAGGAAGAAUGGUUCCCAUUUAUUUUAACUCCCAUCCCAUACAUCAUCUAAGACAAGAAAAAACUUUUUUCCUUCAAUUGAUCUAUGGAUAUGGCUCGUAAGAGAUUGGAAUUCGUUUAAACUAGGAGCUGACUCACCUAGACCUUCAAUGAUUGCUUUGACAACCCUAAUCUCCUCAAAAGUGUCUGAUACACACACCCAUAUAACUUUUUCAAAAUUUCUUUUCACCUCAUCAUUAUUAUAGGCUAGUUGUGCAAGAGUGGUUUUACCUAUACCCCCUAACCCAACUAGUGAGAUGACAUGAAGGCCUUUUUGUUGUUCACUACUUUCACACAACAACUUGCUUAAGAGCUCAUUUUUCUCAUCAACUCUACCGCAAACCUCUCCCUCAUCAAUCAAGGAGGUGGUUCGCACUCGCUCUGGUUUCUUAACAUUGUUGCUCACAUUCUCAACAAAUUUAAACGUAUCUUUUUGGGAGGCAAUAUCAUCUAGCUUUCCAUUGAUUUCCCUAAUCUUGACGGCAAUGUCAUGACGAAGACUAAGUUGUUUGAAACUACCAAAGCAGUUUGAUACAGCACAAAAGAAGGAGCGUACCUUCUUCUUAUGAGGAGCAAGAGCAAGAGCAUUGUCAUCAUCAACGCCCUCAAUCUGCAAUUUGAGCCUUGCAGUGGUCCACUCCUCCAACACGUCUUCCAUGUCGUAAGAUGCGUCUUUGAGCUGAUCCAGCCAAAAAGUAACAGCAUUGUCGCGCUGCAUUUGCCUUUUCUCUGCAUCUUCCAGCACAGCUCGAAUGGCUCGAAGAUUGCUGGUAAGCUUUUUCACUUCUUCUCGGACACCAGUCACAAGCCUCACGUGUUGUUUCACUUCAUCAGCCGCAACGGAGAUCAGCUGCUCCAGGAGAGAGGAAACGAUCGCAUCAACCAUUCUGACAAAGAAAACGAGAAUUUUGAUGAGUUAUUAGAUGUGCUUUUGUUGCGAAGAUAUGAAAGAAAAGGAGUUAUUGCGUUCUUUUAUACUGCAUAGAAAAAGCUUAUGCUUAUCCCCACCCCACACGUCAAUGAUUGUAGAAUGUUUAUUUUCCCUGAUUCUACUCCACUAGUUGUGAUGCGUAAUUAUAAAUAUUCUCAAGUUAUGUAUGAAAAUAGCACAAAUUUGGAUCUAGUAAUGAUUUUUAUGUACUUUUUCAUCAUCUUCUAAAAUACCAUCUCUGCAUGUGCACGAAAUAUGGAAUUGGGUGAAAAAAGUUAUGCUUAUCCCCACCCACACGUUAGUAAUUGUAGUAGCAUCUUUAAUUUCCAUGAUUCUACUCCACGGACGAACACAUUUUUUGUAGUAACAUCUUUAAAUUCCCACACGUUAGGAAUUUGGCACAUAUCUCAAACUCGUCGCAUCUUUAACGUAUGAAGUUGAUGAAUAAAUUCUUUUCUCAUGUCAAUUUAAAACUCCGAGAUUAUGUGCCAAAUUCCUAACGUGUGGGAAUUUUACCUCCUAAGUAAUCCGGCCCACUACCAAGUGCCAACUUUUUCUCUGUCGAGUUAAUGAUGUUGUUUUGUUUUCCUUGUUUUAAUUAAUGUUGCCGAGAGAAACAGAUCGAUGCAAAUGGCUAGCCAGGUUUUGCAGAAACCGUGAAUGGUCUUGCAUGUGACAUAAAGCUUAAUCAUGUAUAUAUGUGUGUUGACACUUGCCAGUUCAUUUUUGUUAUAAAGAUUAUUGAUACUCAUAAAUGUACUACUUACAAAUCAUAAAUUUUGAGUUUGACACUUUAGUUUCAUUUUGUAAUCCCUACACUCUUUAAAUAUUUGUAACAAUAUAUUUCAAACUUUAACUCAGACGUAAUGAAUGAAGGGGGAUCCUCUUCUUAUAUAAAUUUUUAUUUUUUAACGUUCAAGUUACAUUUGAUUACGUGUACUUAUUAUCUAGUUUUGACUAUCUAAUUACAUUUGAUUACGUGUACUUAUUAUAUAAUUUUUUUUUGAAAUGAUGGAUCUGGUGAGAUUUUUUACAUCUUGGAUCAGUAGGUCAAGAACAGGCAGGGCAGGGCCUUCUCUGAAGUCAAUCUUGUGAGCAACACCAGCUUUUUGGAUAAUUGGCAGCCCCAAUUCAUAAUUUUCUCUAUUGAUGUCCAUGGCCAAAAUCUGCAACCGAAGCUUAUUCUACUCUUAUUAAUCGAGAGAUAAUUUUACCUCUAACUAAUUUAAUUGGGAGGAAAAUCGAGAGAGAUAUCCACUUUGUCCUUAUUAAUUGAGAGAUAAUUUUACCCUUACCCAAUUUAAUUGGAAAGAAAAUCGAAUUCCAACAAUAACUAGGACUCGAAUCCAUGCACUUAAGCUAACUUUAUGCUUUUGGACGCAUGGUUAUAAUGUUCUUUAUUUAAAUCCUAACAAAUGGUGGGACUUGAACUUGUGCCUACAAACAUUGAGUGCUUAGGGGCUGCAAAAUUUCAUAACUUAAUUUUAGUUGAUGUGGCAUGUGCCCUAUCACAUCAAUGUAGAUAAUAAUAAUUAAUACAUUAACAAAAUGAAAAAUAUUAGUUUACAAAAUACAAAUCCAAAUUUUUUGUGUGAGAGGGGAUUUAAAAGGGAGAGACUAAACAAAUGUGGUGAAAAACGACAUGUAUUACUACAACUGAAAAUACGAAGUCUAGGCAAUUGAAAACAUCGGGUUUUUUAUUUAAAUAUCCCCAAUUUGUCCUUAAAUACCAAAUUUAUACCCUAUUAUAUACAUAUACCUCACGAAGAUAGGGAAAGUAAAAAAUAACCUAAAAAAAUCAGGAAUCCGCACAUUUCUUCCUCUUAGUUCAGAAAGAUGUCGAGUACGAAGUCGGGUAAGUCGAGAAUUUAGUCGAGCAAGAAUUGGAGAUAAGUAAGUCAAUUAGGAAGUUGAGUAAGCAUAUUAAGUGAGUCGAGUAUUAAGUGGUUGAGUAUUAAGUAAAAGUCAAGUAAAUUUUUUGAACAAGUCGAGUAAAAUUUAUGUAAUUUUUAAAGAGGUCGAGUAUUAAGUCGGGUAAGUACAUUGGGUCGAGUAUUAAUAUUUUUAAAGAAGUGAAGUCUGAUAAGUUGAGCAUUUAGUCGAGUAAGAAGUUAAGGCAAUUGAAUAAGUCGAGUAUCUAGUUGAGUACAAAGUCGGGUAAGUUGAGCAUUCAGUCGAAUAAGAAGUAAAGACAAUUGAAUAAGUCGAGUGUCUAGUCGAGUACGAAGUCGAGUAUGAAAUCUGGUAAGUUGAGCAUUCAGUCGAGUGAGAAGUGAAGGCAAUUGAAUAAGUCGAGUAUCUAGUCGAGAACGAAGUCGGGUAUGAAGUCUGGUAAGUUGAGCAUUUAGUCGAGUGAGAAGUGAAGACAAUUGAAUAAGUCGAGUAUCUAGUCGAGUACAAAGUCGGGUAUGAAGUAUGGUAAGUUGAGCAUUUAGUCGAGUAAGAAGUGAAGGCAAUUGAAUAAGUCGAAUAUCUAGUCGAGUACGAAGUCAGGUAUAAAGUAUGGUAAGUUGAGCAUUCAGUUGAGUAAGAAGUGAAAGUAAUUGAAUAAGUCGAGUAUCUAGUCGAGUAAUCAAACCAAUUUUCUCCAUAGAGUCUUCAAAGUCAACCUAAAAAUGAAAUGCAGGUGGAAAUGAAAAUUCUAUAAACUAAAUAAAAUAAAAUGCAAUUCUUGAGCUUGAGCUUGCUUUUACAUCAUCAUAAUAGUGAAUUUUGAUACAUCUUUACUUUUCUGUUCUUGUUUAUUCACAACAAGAUAUCAAUAAAAGAAGAUGGAAAUGAAAUUCUAUAAAAUAAAGCAAGUGAAUUACCAGAAGAACAUUUUAGCAAUCCUUUGGCUAAAAUUUUCAUUUUCUUAGCAUACUCUCCUGCCUGUGAAUUGCUAGUGUGGUUCUAACAUUUCCUCGAAUCCCUGGUGAACAUAAUUAAACUCGUAUGAAAUAAAACAAAGUGGGCUAAUGUACUACUAAAAACAAUUACACAAUUACUUUAAAGAAUUAGUGUCUGUUUGGUAUGGCUUAUUUAAGAGGCAUAAGUGCUUAUUUAAUCGUAUAAGCACUUUUUAAAAAUUUUUAUGGUGUUUGGUUAUUUUUUUUGCUUAAAUAAGGUAAUUUACCUCUACUAGCAAAAGUCCAAAAUUUGAGCUUUUGGGAGUAGAGGUUAUAGAGCUUUUCUAAAAAUAUAUAAUAUAAAAAAUAUCACACAGUUUAAUGGUUCAAAAGUGAUUUUUUUAUUGACAACCAAACACCCAAUGACUUUUUUGACCAAAAGCUUUAUUAGUAUAAGCUCUGCUGCUAUAAGCUCUACUGUUAUAAGCUCUAUUUAAUAAGCUGUACCAAACAGAGCCUUAAUGUCACAUAAAUUAUAUAUAAAAAAAUACGAUUAUCAUUAUACAAGAUAAAAUUGAUAAUUUAGUUUUCAACAUUACUGCAAAUGUAUCACAGACAUUUUGUCUCUCAGCGAGUUACACAUAACAAAUUUUCGUACAUUAAAAAAUAAAUUGCAUUGGGAUUUUCUAUGAUAUUGUAUGAAAUUUUACAAAAGAGCACAUAUUUUUUUAAAGUAAAUAAAUAUAGAAAUUUCAGCAGACUACACUUGUAUUUUUUUAUUAUUUAAUUUUUAGAAAACAAGUUCAACAGAUUUGAUCACUAGGAAGUUUUACAUAUUUAUACCAAGAUUGAUUCUAUAUAGAAUCUUAAUUCAAAAUAUAAUUAUUUUUAUUAAUUUCAUUGCAAGCAACAAUGAAGUAAAUCAGAGGAGGAGAAAUUACCAGCGAGUGAUAUCUUACGGCGACCAAUUGAUGUGGGGAAUGUGGGAUAUCUUAUGCCAGUCUUCUCCUUUCCCCUCUCUUAACCCCAAAUUGUCAAUGUCUGCAGUGUCGUUGUUUGAAGUAACAACAAAGUAAAAUACAGAGAAAUUACCGGUAGGUGAUAGUAAUUGCAACCAUUCGAGAAUUUACCACUCGAUGUGGGGAAUGUGAGAUAUCCUAUGCCAGUCUUCUCCUUUCCCCUCUCUAUAACGGUUUUCAAGAAGAGGACAUCCCUCAAUACUCAAUUCCUGCAGCGUCGUCGUCCGAAGAAGGUAAUCCGGCAGCACCUUUAAUUUGGGGCAAUACCAAAUCGUCAAGGAAGAAAGAUGUGGUAUGUCUGUUGUCCUGCGAUCUUCUAGAAUGGGCAGUUCUUCCAAAUUUUCACAAGCAUGAAUAACCAGUACCUGCAGUUCCGUCGUUUGAAGAAGGUAAUCCGGCAGCGCCUUUAAUUUGUUGCAAAAACCAACUUUUAAGGAAGAAAGAUGGGGCAUGAUGGAGAUGUUUUCCUUCCUCGUAAUCUUGUAAUUCCACUCUUCCAAUUCUUCCAAUGCUACAAUUUCGAGUGAUUUCAAUUUGGGGAAGGCAAUAACUGAUGAUGACGAUGAAGAUGAAGAUGGGCCAUCCUCACUGCUUUCUUCUAUUCCCAAAAACUCAUUACCCACUCUUUUUACACUUUUCAAGUGGAUGAUUACGAGUUUUUCCAGAGGUAAUUUUCCCAAAGGAGGCAAAUGCUCACAGUUAAAACACGAGGAAAGAUAUAAAUUCCUUAGAUUGGUUAGUGAAGUCAACCAUUUGGGAAAAAUGUUGCCUCGGUAGGAUUCAAUCUCUAAUUUCUCUAAAUUCACAGGCGGUUGUAAGGCUUCAAGAAGUUGUUUAUCUUUCUCAUUCUUCCUCCUCCCUUCUUCGCCUUCCCCAUCUACGACUCUACCAAACUCAAGAUGCAAACGAAGGAGGUUUUUCUUAUUGUCUCAUCUACAUGCGAUACAUUACUCAGCCCUUCUACUCUACAUUCACGAAGGAGUUGAAGAUUUUUCAGAGAUUCAAGCCUACACGUGCUGCCACCAUCAACACCUCCACCCACAACAAACUUUUCUAAUGUUCGAAGGCUGGUCAAUCUGGAAAUCCCUAUUGGCAUGUACUUCAACGAAUAAGUUUCACCAUUCAGUAAACUCCUCAUGUUCUUUAACUUCCCAAUCCUCGCAGGCAAUUCUCUAAGACUUGGGCACCGCCUAAUAUCUAGCUUUUGUAAAUUAUAUAAUUCACACAAAGUCUCAGGUAGUCUCUCUAUACAUAGUCCAGACAAAUUAAGAUAUUUUAAAUGUAUCAAUUUUCCAACAUUUUCUGGAAUUUCUGUAAUCAAAUUUGGAUCUGAACGCAAACGAAUGGACAAUUGGCUUAUAACUAAUGCCCUUAAACACGCCAAUUUUCUAAAUAACUCCCGAAGGAUGCUGCGAUUAAGACUCCUAUUGGAAUAACUUCUAUCAUAAAUUAAGAGGCUACGCAAUCUAUCAAAUUCAAAAAAGGACAUAGUAAAUGAAGCGCCUCCUUCAAACUUUAACCCUAAGUGACGGACUUUCUCACCAAAAGAGUUUAUGACUGAUUCCUUGGUACCAUUAAUUUCUAGCCACAAACAUUCUUGCCUACUUACAAAUUGAGCAAAAUCAUAUACUAUGUCAUGCAUCUUGCAACUCAUAAUAUCAUCAUCGUCAUAAUAUUUUUCAAACUCUUGAAAGAAAGAGCGUGUUGCUAAGAUGUUGAAAUACUCUUCUCCAAUCAUCUCCAUUUCUUCGUCUUCAUCUGCAUUAAGGUAACUUUGAGCCAUCCAUAGAUUAAUCAAUUCCCUUUUAUUCAUAUUGUAGUCUUUUGGAAAGACAGCACAAUAUGAGAAGCACCGUUUUACCAUAGAAUUAGAGGGCAAAUCGUUAUAACUCAACAACAAAGGAGCCAAAAUACCUUGCCCAAUCUCUUCUACUUUCCACAUUUCACUAUCUAAAAUUCUUUGCCACUCUUUUACUAUACUUUUAGAGCGCAAGAGAUUCCCUAUUACCUUUGCAGCAAGAGGCAGGCCUUUGCACUUACAUGCAAUUUUUCGCCAAAUUGGUUCUAAUUUUUCACAAUCCUCAAAGGACCUACGUAGAAAUGCUAUCUACUUAAACAGUAACCAACAUUCCCCUUCACCCAACUCCUUGACAGGGAUAAUAUUUAUUGAUCCCAACUGUAGUGCAACUGACUUAUCACGUGUGGUAAUCCGAAUUUUACUUUCAUGGUGGCCAUUCUUUAGACAAGAAAAGAAUGGGUCCCAUUCUUUAUAAUCUCCAUCCCACACAUCAUCUAAAACAAGAAAAAAUUUCUUCCCCGUAAUAUAUUCCUGAAUCUGUUUCAUAAGAGAUUCGAAUUCGCUUAAACCAGAAGCUGACACGCCUAGACCUUCAAUGAUUGCUUUGGCGACCCUAAUCUCCUCAAAAGUGUCUGAUACACACACCCAUAUAACUUUUUCAAAAUUUAUUUUCACCUCAUCAUUAUUAUAGGCCAGUUGUGCAAGAGUGGUUUUACCUAUACCCCCUAACCCAACUAGAGAGAUGACAUAAAGGCCUUGUUGUUGUUCACUACUUUCACACAACAACUUGCUUAAGAGCUCAUUUUUCUCAUCAACUCUACCGCAAACCUCUCCCUCAUCAAUCAAGGAGGUGGUUCGCACUCGCUCUGGUUUCUUAACAUUGUUGCUCACAUUCUCAACAAAUUUAAACGUAUCGUUUUGGGAGGCAAUAUCAUCUAGCUUUCCAUUGAUUUCCCUAAUCUUGACGGCAAUGUCAUGACGAAGACUAAGUUGUUUGAAACUACCAAAGCAGUUUGAUACAGCACAAAAGAAGGAGCGUACCUUCUUCUUAUGAGGAGCAAGAGCAAGAGCAUUGUCAUCAUCAACGCCCUCAAUCUGCAAUUUGAGCCUUGCAGUGGUCCACUCCUCCAACACGUCUUCCAUGUCGUAAGAUGCAUCUUUGAGCUGAUCCAGCCAAAAAGUAACAGCAUUGUCGCGCUGCAUUUGCCUUUUCUCUGAAUCUUCCAGCACAGCUCGAAUGGCUCGAAGAUUGCUGGCAAGCUUUUUCACUUCUUCUCCGAAACCAGUCACAAGCCUCACGUGUUGUUUCACUUCAUCAGCCGCAACGGAGAUCAGCUGCUCCAGGAGAGAGGAAACGAUCGCAUAAACCAUUCUGACAAAGAAAACGAGAAUUUUGAUGAGUUAUUAGAUGUGCUUUUGUUGCGAAGAUAUGAAAGAAAAGGAGUUAUUGCAUUCUUUUAUACUGCAUAGAAAAUGUUUAUGCUUAUCCCCACCCCACACGUCAAUGAUUGUAGAAUGUUUAAUUUCCCACACGUUAGGAAUUUGGGACAUAAUAAUAAAUAUUCUCAAAUUUGUCGCAUCUUUAACGUAUGAGCACGUGUUUUGUCUAUGUCACUUUUUUUCUAUCUUACUGCAAUAUCAGGUAGAGGAAUUCGAUCAGUUUCCCCAACAGAUGGGAAACGAUGUCAUCAGCCAAUUGAUGUUGGAUUAAAUGCUAAAUGUUACGAUUGCUUUUGUUGCGAAAAUGCUCAAAGAAAAGUGGCUUUUGUGUAUUCUGUGAGAAUGCUCAUUCAAGCAUUUUUGCAUUCUUCUUAUACUACGUGAGGUAUUUAAUUUUUACCCUUGAGUCAAUGUCAAUGUGAAAGCUUUUAUGCUGCAAAUUAAAGAAAUCCCAGACCAAUAAUUGUACAACAUCUGCCCUGUCUCUCUGAUUCAUAAUAAUUAUGCAGACUACUCAGCAUCGGCACUUGUAAAAUUUCUUACAUUAUAAGUAACGAAAUAUUUGUAAACUACCACAAAAAGCUUGGAGCAAUCUACUGAUGAACCUUCUGAAGUUACAUAAAAUAGAAUAAUCUUAGUGUUGGAACAAUUUUAAAAUAAAUGAUGUCUCAUUAUAAAGACAUAUCUAAUUAAUAUAGAAGAGUAAUCUUUUGAUAUUUAAUAAAUAUCAUACUAUGGUCUAUGACUUAGCUCAUACUACAAAGAAAAUAUGUGAAAGAUAAUUAAGGAAUAAAGCUUUCAACAACGAUUUAUAAAAUUGCUUUUGAUAAAACUGUUCUGAUGAAAUGAAAUUAUGUGAAAUUACUAAGAAUUUAAUUAGCCUCUCAAAAAGGUUCAUUGAUUGCUUGACUUCUCAAGUUUAAAAUUCGAAUGUCAAAACAGAUAAAACGUUAAAAAAUUAUUUUGAGUUUUAUCCACCCGUUUACCAUUUUAAUACAUAAAACUCUCCUAUUGCUUUAAAGUAUCAUUUUUUGUUUUAAACAAAAAAUGACACUUUAGUAUCAUAUGUUUGCAAGAUAUUCGGCCAUGAGUGUUGACGGAAAUUUCUUCAUCCUUGAGCGGAAAAUAAAAAGAAAAACAUAGUUCGCAAUUUUAGUAGCGAAACCAAUAUUUUGAUCCAUAUGGGGUAAAUCUUCAGGAGGCCCAACUUCAAACUUAAAAUGUUAGCUGAGGGUUUAAUUUUAGACUGUUUUUCUAUUUAUAGUUAUUAUAUAGUUGUUAGGAAUUUCGAAAUUUUAGAAUUUUGCUUGUAGCUACAGGCUGCAGCGAUUUUAUUUGGCGACUUUGAUUCAUAAUUGAAGUACUGUUGCAAGUAAAAACUAAAAAAAUAAUUAACAAAAUAAAAAUCAAAGACUUAGGCCCAAGUUUUUAUCAAAAUUUUAAUAAAAGGCUAUUUGUCACAUCGUCAUAAUGGAAAAAUAAUUAAUACAAUAAACAAAUCGAGUUACUUGAUUUUAUUUUAAUAAUAUAUAAAUAAAAUUUUUAUUAUAUGUAUAAAUUUUAUAUAUCAAGUUCUUAGGGGUCAAAUCAGUUUUUUUAUACCUAAUUUUUAAUAUUUCACUUCGAAACCUCAAAAUUUUUCAAAGCUUGUAGGGUCAUGAUCCUCACUAGGAGUGGGCAAAUUUGUGUUCAUAUUAACUUAAUCGGGUUUUAGGUUGAUUGGGUUAGAAUAUUCAGAUUGGAUUGUAUCAAAUCAAAAAUUCAAGUUUAGUUUGGAUUGCAUCAGGUUAUAAUUAUAUGGGGAUCAAGUUGGAGUUGGAUUAGCCAACUUGGAUUAAAAUCAAAUUUGGUCAGCUAGGAUGGAUUCAGAUAAUGUUGGGAUUAGGGGUGUUUUUGAGCCUAUUUUGUUUAUUUUCAGUUUUUUUUUAAAUUAUUUUAGUUCUUGAAGAUGGUUUUAUUGUAAUUAUCUCAUUUGAAUUUGUUUUUACCAAUUUUCAACCAAAAAAAAUGAAAACUACUACUAUAAAAUCAAAUGAAUAAAAAUUGAAAUGAACUACUACUAUUAGAUUGGAUCGGAUCCUCAUCUCUUGGCCUUCUUAUACAAUAAGGUAACUUUGAGCCAUCUAUAGUGUAGUUUUCAUUUUUUUUAUUGGUCAUUUAUAUUGUAAGAAUUUCCCUAUUAAUAUUGUUCCCAAUCUCUUCUACCUUCUACAUAUCACUAUCUAAAAUUCUUUUCCAUUCUUCUGUUGGUCAUUUAUAUUGUAAGAAUUUCCCUAUUGCCUUUGCAAUAAGAGGCAGGCCUUGCAUGCAAUUUUUUUUAUCAUUUGGUCACCAUCCUUAAAAAAUUGACCAAAAAAUGCUACUUGCUUAAACAAUGACCAACAUUCUUCUUCAGUUAAUUCCUUAAUAAAAAUAAUAUUUGUUAAUCUCAUCAUGCUUGCUAUUAUCUAAUGAUGUGUAGUAAUCAAAAAAUUGACUACUGUAGAGACCAUUCUUUAAACAAUAGAAGAAUGGUUCCCAUUGAUUGUAACUUCCAUCCCACACGUCAUCUAGGACAAGAAAAAAAAAAAUCUUUCCCUCAUUAGAUUUAUCAAUAUGGUUUACAAGAGAUAACCUAAUAUUUGUCUGUUGCCAUUCUUGCAUUAUAUGCAUACUCCAUGACUUACAAGAUUGCUUCUUUGACCAUCUAUCUGAUAACCUCCAAUGGCAAAGCUAGCAUCAUUUGUUUGGGUGGGCUAGAUUUAAAAAAAAUGAAAUUUACUUCUCAAAAAAUUUGUUUUAUAUAAAUGAAAUUAAGCACACUACAUAAGCAAAAAUUUAACCAUAAAACUAUAAAAAUACAAUGUAAAUAAGAAAAACAAUAUUGACGAAGAUGUGUCCUACGGUUCUUCAAAAAAGAAAAUUCAUCUACUAUCGCAUAUGAGUCAAUAUUGUCUGCAAUUUCUCUUUCCAUGUAAAUAACCAUACAAUCUGAAAGAAACUCAUUCUCCAUCUUGUUUCAAUGUGUUGUCUUAAUCAGUUUCAUGGCAGAAAAUGCUCUCAACUGUUGUUGCUGUUGAAACAAGAAGGGUUAACACUAAAUGAUUAACACUAAACAAGAAGGGUUAACAAGAAGGGUUAAUCUAUCCAACAAGAAAUAAAUCUAUGACUUUCUAGUCUCAACCAAUCUUCGACACAGUUUAGAAAGGGAAGUAAUAUUCUGAAACUCUUGAAGAGAGUGUAUAUCUAUCUCAAAGCACUCUAAUUGUCUUCUCAAAGCCUGUAACUCAAUCUUAGUGAAUCUUUAGGAUAAAAUCUUUCAGCAAGGCUGUAAAUAUCUUCAAUUUUAAAUGAUUUAAAUGCAUCAAUAGGAUUUAAAGCUGAACUAAGAGUGAGGAGUUCCAAAGUCUGUUAAGCAAAUCUAUUAUUCAACUCCAUCAAUUGAAAAUCUAUCACAGCAUUAAAUAUAUCAUAAUGAUAAUAAUGCUCAACUGUAAUAUAAUUAUUCUGCUGACAAGAACAUCCUCUGCCUUUCAUAUGGCGAGCUUUCAUAUCAGGCAUAUCUAUCUCAUUCUUUUCAUAAAAUAGAACUACGUUCUCAAUAAAAGUUUUCCAACCAUUGUCUCGCAGCCUUUGAAGAAGUUUUUUCGUAGUUGAGACUAAGUGCACAACAUUUAGAAUAUCUUGAGAUUUAACUUGUAAUGCUUGACAAAGUAAAUCACUCACCCCCAAAACUUUAUUUAAUAAAUGCAAAAUGAACACAAAUUUAAAAGAUGUCAUUGAUUCACAUGCACCUUUAGCCUCUCCACAUAUACUAUUGUUAGGUCCACACUCGACCAACUUCUCAAGAACUUUACGAACAACACUAAACAAAUCAAGCAACCUACUGAUAGAAUGGAAAUGAGAGCUUCACCAAGUAGCUCCAGGCCGUUGCAAAGUAUGAAUUUGAUUGGCCCCUGUACCAGUUUGAACUUCUCCUGAAGCUAUCAAAUCUAUUAUUUCUGCUUCCCAAACAAAUUUUAACUCAGAAAGUCGUUUAGCAGAUGAAGUCAGAACAUUUACAAUUGAACCCAAUGCUGAAAAGAAAAGCCAUACAUCUGGCACAUCAUUAGAUGCUGCAACUAAAGCAAGUAGUUGAUGUGCAAAACAGUGUAUAUUAUAUGCAUAUGGGCAAUCUUUCAAAAAUAAUGCUUGUAAUCCAUUCCAUGCAUCCCGCAUGUUACUAGCACCAUCAUACCCUUGCCCUCGGAUAUUUUCAACUAAAAGAUCAUAUCGUGCAAGAACAUUACAUAUUUCUUUUUUCAAUGUUACUGUUGUAGUUUCCAUGACAUUGACAACUUCAAAAAAACGUUCUCGAAUAUACCCAUCACAAUCAACAUACCUUAAAAUAAUAGCCAUUUGCUCUUUAUCAGAUUCCUCAAGUGCUUCGUCUACUAAAAUACAAAACUUACCAUCUCCAAUUUCCUUGCUUAUCUUGUUUUCGCACUUUGUUUGCAAGAAUAUUUAAAAGCUCUUUUUGAAUGUCAGACGAUGUAUACUUAGCAUACGAUGGAGCAUUUUCCAAGACAACUUGAGCAAUUUCUUUACUACACUCCGCUGAAUGCUUUAUCAACUCUAUGAAAUUUCCCCGAUUUCUUGAAUCAACUGGUUCAUCAUGACCUCUAAAAGCACAUGCUUGCUCUGCUAACCAUUUAACUGCAAUAAUUGAGGUCUUCAAUCGUAGCCUAUUCUCCAAAAGUUGUUGUGAAGUUUGGGCAUUAAUUAAUCUAUCAAUGUGUUGAAUUGGGUUCCUCAAACAACCCCAACUCUGCAUAUUCUUAUUAUGAUGAGAAGAUGGACCUCCUUCAUGCUGUAAAAAGGGACAUUUUUUUCCAUUGUUGACUCUCUUCCAACUAGAAAAUCCUUCAAUAACAAAUUUUGGGUUGUUUGAUGGAAUUUCAUCAAAAAGAAAGCAUGGAAAACAAAAUGCACGAUCUUUUACCUCAGAGUACUCAAGCCAUGGAAAUUUUUUAAACCAGUGACAGUGAAACCUACGUUCUUGCAUGCCAUCAUUAGUUAGUGGAUAAUCUCGUAGUUUAGGCUGAUAAGGUCCCAUUUUGAUGUACUCCCUUCUAAUAUCAUCACAUUGAUUUACUGAAUACGUCCCUAUUUGAUGACGUAAUCCAGGAUCACGCUCCAGAUAAGUAUUUCUAGUUUCUUCAACUUCAACCCUUUGAAACUUGGAAGUAUGUUGCUCACUGGAAUCUUGAGCAUUAACUUGACAUGGAGAUAAAGACUUGGUGGAUGAUUGAUUUUCACCUACUCUCUUAAAAAAAGAAAGUAGAGUUUUUCUUGGUUUAUUUAACAUUGAAUUUGUAAUAAAAUACAUUAAAAAUUUAGUAUUUAUUUUAUAAAAAAUUUGACAAAAUCGCAAGUUAAAAGCUAAUUAAAAAAGUCAGCAUUCAAAUUAAUUAUUUUACUAUUUUAUUCACUCAUUCUUUCAUGCCAUCAUUAUUUUAUAAUUACAAGAAGAUGAAUCAACACCUUUCACAGUUCCACUUUAUAUGCUAUCAUCACCGUUUUUCACAUUCUAUUAUUUUAUAAUUUUAAAAAGAUGAAUCACAGUUCACAAAAUCAACAACUUCCAGUCUUCCACAAUUCCACUUCGUGUGCCAACCAUCAUUAUCAUAAAAUCAUAUUAUAUUCUGUAAACUAAAGUUUAAAAGGCAAAGUGCUUUGUACCAAGGGCCGCAUCAAGAGACUGGGCAUUCGGCGUCGGCUCGGCAGUGAGAGAUUCAACCUAUGGGUGCGGGCCUUGCGGCAGUGGUUCGGCGUCACUCAUGAGGCAGCGGCUGGGCGUCAAUUCGAGCGCAGGAGACUGGGUAUUCAGCAGCGGUAAGAGACUUGAGCAAUUGAAUUUUGGUAAAUUUCAAAUUCGGAUUUAGUUAGAUACUGGUGAGUUUUAUGAAUUGUGAUUUAGGGAAAUAAAAGAUUCCUAUAAUUAUUGGGUUUGUUUUUAUUUUUCUAUAAAUACUAAUAAAAGUAAAUUUAUAAAUUAUAAAUAUUUUUUUUUCAAAAAGCUUACCCAGGCUGCAGCCCGGGUUAGCCUUCCCUAAGCUUUGCUCUGCCUCCACAGUCAUUGUCUACUUCCCUUGAAUGUCUUCGGGAUGGUUGUUCCUUUAUGUGGUCACAUCAUGAUAACAAGCAAACUUACUCUAAUACCAGCUGGCGAUGAGGAAACAUUAAAAGGCUAUUAGAUAAUAGAAACUAGGUUUUUAAAUAAUAAGUUAUAUUGCGAAUAAUUUGAACAAACAAAAUUGGGGUAUUGAACCACUUUUAUAGAAGCAUAAAUAUUAGGAAUUUACCAAAAUAGGCAAAUCCAAAAUAUUAUAUGAUAAUAAAAUCCUUCUAAUCUAAAUAAGAAAAGGAAAACAAAUGGAACUCAAAUCCAAUAUCUAGAAAAAAAGGAUAAAAAUCCUAAAAGAAUCACGACAAAUUAAAAAAAUAUCUUAAAACUGAAAAACAACAAAGAAAGAAGUGAAAUUUUUUGCUCAACCGCAGGGCAUGAUAGCAUAGACUGUUCUGCAUUUGGUUCAACUUAUUGCAAGCUUUGAAACGAUAUAUUAUACAUUCAAAAUGGAACGGAUAUCUGUAUCCUAAGUUAUGACCUUCGGAAGAUACCCUACUCAUUCUAUGCAACCAUCCUACGUCAACUUGCCUUUGCUAUGUAUCUUCGAGCAACUUGAAUGGCUUGAAGAUUUGUGGUAAGCUUUUUCACUUCUUGUUGGAGAAUAGUCACAAACCUCACCUGUUGUUUCACUUAUUCAUAAGCAGCAAAGGAGUUCAGUUGCCCAAGAAGAAGGGAAGCGAUCGCAUCCGCCAUUCUGACAAGGAAAAGGAGAAAUAAUUUGAUAAGAUGUUAAGUGUGCUUUUGUUAAGAAAAUACCAAAUCAAAGGAGCAGUUGCAUUCUUCUUACAUUGCAUGAAAAAAGUUAAUAGUUAUCCUCCCCCACCCCACACAUCCAUAAUUUUACCAUCUUUAAUUUUUAUGAUUCUACUCCACAACUAUGGUACAUAAUUGUAAAUAUUCUAAAAUUAAUUUGUACUGGUCGGGCCAGUGCCAUGUAAAACAAAAACAAAAACUCAAAAGAAAAAAAAAAGAAGAAAACAAAAGUUGUAAAAAGCAUGCCUCACGGAUAAUUUACUUAUAGUUAAAUUUCGUCCCACACCCUUAUUAGAUUGAAAUACUUUAAUUUACCCUCCAAAAGUAUAAAAACUUCAUUUUACCUGCCAAAUGCCAUUAUUUUUAAUAGUUAACUAAUGUUGACUUGAAAAAUACGAGAAUGCCCCUGACCCUAACUAAUUAACAGUUCAUUGAGUUAACAAGAAUAAUUUUAUUUUGCCCCUUAAGGUCUAUUAUAUUUCAAGUUAGACUACAAAAAAAAUUAUUAAUAAAAACUCCCUAUAGAAAAAAAAAAGUAAAAAAACCAUUAAAAGAUUAAUUUAACUUUUACUUAUAUCUUAAUCUAUAAAACAAGUAUGAUAAUCACAAAUUUAUGUUAUGAUAUCACCACAAUGAAAAUUUAAAAAAUAAUUUUGACCCUUCUCUUGAAUUUAAAUAUCUUAGGAAUAUCAAUAUUUAAUUAAUUAGUUGACUUUUACCAUUCAAAAUACCAUUUUACCUUUCAAAGUAUCUAAAAGACAAAUUAACGCACAAAAUUUAUUGACAUUCCAUUAAUAAUGUAAUUUGACGGGUUAAAAAUUAAAAAAAUAUAUAAAAUUUAGAGAAAUUCAAAGACUGAAGCCUUAACCCCUACUUAUAAUCCCAAAUUUUUAUCAGUUUCUUUCUUAUUAAUAUCAUUUGCUAUAAUUUUAAUCUUAUUUUUUUUAAUAAUAAUUCUUUUUAUUGAAAGCCAUUUUAGUAUUUUUUUUCCCCAAACAUCAAACUAAGGGGUAAAAUAGUAAAAUAAUUCAUAAUUUAUAAUAUUUCAGUAUAUCCAAUAUAUAUCAUUUUCAUAGAAUAAUAUUUAUCAUUUUUUUAGUAUUCUUAGGAAUCUUGAAUAGUAACACCUUUUUUUUUUUGGUGUGGACCAUGAAGUAUUCUGGGGAGAGCCCCAACUGUGGAAGGCACCUUUAAGCCCGUACUACAACCCAGACUAACAAUCCCCGCUCAAACCGGGAGACACAGGUUCUCCCAACAAAUGCGACUUCCCUGCGACUAAUAGUAACUCCUUUUUAAUUUAUGAUUAAAAUGUUAAAAAACAAAAAAGUUAUAAUCUUUUAAAAUUUGAAACGAGUUAUUGCAAAAUAAUAAUAAUAAUAAUAAUAAUUUUAUUCCUUAGUUGAGCUUUGAAAUAUAAUAAAUUACCAACAAUGGCAUCCACUACAAUUUAUCCUUAAUUAAAAUUUAAAAUUGCAAUCCAUUUUUUUGUUUUCCAAAUUAUUUUUUCUUUUAUUCUUGGUCUUCUUUAGUUUCCUUAUUUCUUUGUCUUGUACUCUUUUUUUUUUUUUAACCUCUGUUCCAUAUUUGAGGCUUUAUCUUAAUUCUUUGCAUUAAUUCUAUCAAGACUAUCCUUGAUAAUUCUAUUACGGUACAACUCAAAUUUCUACCAUCACAUAAUAUUAGAGAUAUAUAUUAUAUUCUUAUUAAUCAGAAGAUAAUUUUACUCCUAUCCAGUUUAAUUAAGAGGAAAAUCGAGAGAAAUAUCUACUUUAUUCUUGUUAAUAAAGAAAUAAUUUUAUCCCUAUCUAAUUUAAUUGAAAAGAAAAUUGACAAUAACCUAUGCACUCAAGCCAACUUUAAGUGCUUGGAUGCAUGGGUUGUAAUGUUUUUUAUUUAAAGGCUCAGGCUAGAACCAACUAAUAUCAGCCGUGUGAUUUUAAUCACUCAAUCCAACCGUCACGAUUACACUCAGUGGAUAAACAUUCCACAUAGUCCACAAACAUGAAGAGUAAAGGAUUGAUUGCAUAUGUAUCCUCUCAAGUUCUCAAGAACUUUUUCUUUAAAACACACUUUUAAAGCUAAUCUGCAGAUCUCUCCGAAAACUUUUCCUCUUCUAACUCCUCAUCUCUUCCUCACCAAAUCUUCGGAGGCAAAAAUCUUUCUUGCCUUCUCCAGUGGAUUCUUGAUUUCUUUUUUUCUUUUUUUUUUUCGGUUGCACCCACCUCUUCCUUAUGAUUUGAGGAUGUGUGUCUUGUUCUGGCCUUCUUCACCUUAAGGUGGUUGUUCUAUUUCAAUUUUCUCCUCCUUUGGUUUUGAGGAUGGCUGCUAUGCGUCCAUUCAGAUCUUGAUCUGUGAUGGUAAUAAUGUACCAGUUAUAGUGAUAAUUUUGGUUUAAUUUCUAUUUUCCAGUACAUAACCCUUCAACAUCUCUGUCAAAUGCAAUGAACCGAUCACAACCAUUCAUAAUUAACCCAAAAAAAAAAAAAAAAAAACACAGAGAACAAUCACAACGACGAUUUGUUUUGAUCAUCCCUGCUUUUUCUUAGCAUAGCUCUUGGAAUGAAAAUUAAUAAAAAGUGUCAAAAGGGAAGCAUUAAACACAGCAUUGAAGCACCAACCCAAGAUCCCAGAGCAUCCAAAUCCCGCAAAAUGAUAAUACAGCAUCAAAACUGAAACAACAAAACUAAACACGAACUGAACAAUCUGACAGUCAGUGACCAAUCUCUUCCACUUUGGCCGCAACCCCAUCACACACAAUAGAUAGUACCCGUACAUGAUCACGUGCACACUUGCAUUGGUGACAAGUGCGAUAGGAAACAAAGACUGCUUCGUCUGUAACCAAAGGUAGCACAUUACGACGACGGUUGCGUGGUGGUAGACGUGGAGGAACGUGAGCCGUUCGAUGGAGUUUGACAAAAUGAUCAAAAGGGUGUCUAGGAAUUCGAGUAUUUUGGAGAGGUAGAAGAUGUAAGCGUAGAAGAAGAGGGGACCGGAGGGAGAGAUGGUGGGGGGGAAACAGAGGGUGUGACGGAGGUCGGGUGAAUGGAGGACGAUGGAGAGAGUGCAACCAACGGCCAUGACGAGGGAGAGGAGGAGGAGGGUGAGGUUAUGGACGGCUGUGAUGGGCUUGAGGAUGUGGGGUCCAAUGAGAGGUGAUGAUGAUGGUGAUGUUGGCGUUAAUUUGUGGUAGAGUAUGAAUGUGAGGGAGAGGUAAGUGAGGAUGGAGAGAAUGAGGAAGUGUGGGGAGGAAGCUGGGGUUUGGUUUUGAGUCCAUGUGAAGUUGAGGAUUUGGGGGUGGUUUACAAGCCAAUAUUGGAGUGUUGAGGUGAUUGAAUUUGAAGCCAUGGCUGGUUUUUUGGAGGAGGAAAGAUUUGGAAGAGAUGAUGUUGAGAGGAGUGGGGGAGUUUAGAAAGUUUGGGAUAAUGUGAGGGGUAUUUUGGGCAUAUAAUGUUGUCUGAGCUUAAAUUUUUGUUAAAAAGAAAUAAUAAUAAUAAUAAAUUCUUUUCUCAUGUCAAUUUAAAACUCCGAGUGUGUUUCCAACAAUUGCUUUUCUUUUUCUAUUUUGGGAUUUUGAAUCAUUUUUUUUUCAAUUCAAUAAUGGCCUCUUCAAUUAUAAAAUAUGGUCAAAGGGGAUGGGGUGUAGUGUCUAGGCCUCCGCGACAACGGCAUCUUUGAACGUGGGUUUCAUCAGUUUUUUUUUUUUUGGCUAUUUCUGCUCAAAUCAAACUUGUGGAUUUCGUGCACUCAACGUGGAACCCUUUUGAAUGGACGCAAUGGUUUUGGUGGGAUCACACAAUCCGAAGAAGCAUGGAACUGGGACCAAUUUGUUGACAAAAAUUUAGGCAUAAAAUUUACAAAUCGAAGUCAGAGUAAGAUUUAAGUAAAAUUGAGUAACAUCUUGCACAUCGAGUAAGGAUUUCUACAAUCGGGCUAGAAAGUGCAACUAAAAUUUGGUAAGAGUUUCAUAGAGCAUAAUUUUUAAGAUACAACGUUAAGAGUAUUUAGUAGACACUUAUAAUAUUACUUGAAUUGAUUUAAUCUCAUACUCUAAUAUAAAAAAUUUAAAAUAUACUCUUAUAAUAUUACUUGAAUUGAUUUAAUCUCAUACUCUAAUAUAAAAAAAUUUAAAAUUUCUUUACUAAUUUUAUUGAAAGUAUUAUUUGACAAUCCUAUUUAUUACAUAAUAUCAACGUUUAUAUUAUAAUUACCGCUAAUACUAAAAGCUGAUCUCGUAAUUAAAAGCUAAACAAAAACUCGAGUACAAUCUAGUAAUUAAAAGCGCUAUGGUUUUUUGGCAUUACAAGAUGAUUCAAACUUGAACUUGCCAUCAAAAGUGUAUCAAAACAAUCACAGAGACACUCUGUUUGACAAAUCUGCAGUAGAAUUUGCACAAUUUAACUGGGUUACAGAGAGUGAAUAAGAUUCCAAAGCAACAGGCCAUUAUUAUUAAGAAAACAAUUCAUCGCUAGAACAAAAUUAACUUUUCUAACUUACUAGAAUUUAACUGGAGAAAAAUUGGAAUAUACGAAGUUGUAUCACAUAUAGUAUUUAGACAUCAAGAAAAGAAUCCCUCUAUCAGUGAACUAUACUUGCCAGGAAACACGGUGAAAUACCACCACCUCCCUACUAGUUCUUAGAUGUCUCAAAAGAGUUUGAUGACGACUUCCGUGUUGUAUCUCUUCGACAGGCAGCAAAAUUGGGCUAUUGACUAGAUUAACUCCCCAGAAAUUUAUGCGGUCACCUUCUUCCGGACUAUCCUCUUUCUUCGCACUUUAGGAGCCCUUGCUUCCCCUUCAACAGAGUCGACAUUCCCUUGUUUGAUGCCAAGGAGCCCAAGCCCAGAGACAAUGGCAUUCUUUGAUAUCAACCACUUUGGGGACUUUUGAGUUGAGCCAUUGACAUCCUGAGACGGCCUGUUGUAAGCCUUCUUCAAAAGGUCAUCUGACUGAAGUAGCGGAUCCGCUUCCACUCCUAACCAAGCAAGCCUUGAUCUUUCUCCUAAUUGGACAUUAAGAACCCUGCAUGGAAUCCAUUUGAGAAGUUGAACAAUAGACAAAGUCCAACACAUAUAGGCAGUAAAGAAUAAUUUGGACAACAAUUACUGAUUGUUUACGCACAGGGCUGAACAAAUGGGAAUAUUAAGGCACAUAAAAAUUGGAACCAUAUUCACCACUUGUACUUCCUUAGAGAAUUAUCUCAGAGUUCUGUUAAUUUAAAACCAUUCUUACACAUUUAACUGUAAAACUAGAGAAAUUGUACUUCUGUAGCGAAGUCUCACUAUUGUUAAGGAUUUGGACUUGGAGAGAAUGCAAGUUGAUUAAGCAAAGAAAAAUUGAAAUAAUAAUUGGUGAUAGAUCUAACACACUUCAAUAGAAACCACACUAACAUCAUAUCAGGCAAAUAAACAGAUUCCCCAGUCAAAAGUUUAACAAACAAAACAUUAAAACAAUAGUAAUUUGGUCCGACCAGAAUAGUCUAUCAAUGUAUAUAGAGAUGUAGAUCAAUAAACAAAUACGUAAAAGAGAGAGAGGGAGAGACCUCAAAGCAGUGCUUAAGAACAGUGCUACUCCAAUAACAUCAAAAUGGUUGAUGACCGCUCUAUCAAAUCCACACAAUAGCUGGUAUCUCAUGUUUGCACAUAGUCCAAGGAAAGCACCAUAACCAAGCGCAUUAGUACUCACAGAUGGGAUUGUCACAGAUAACCUGUCAGACAUUAAAGGUGGCCCAAAUUUAACAAAUGUUAAACUAGCUUAGACAGUAAACAGAACAAUUUUCUAAGUUUUCUUUAUUUGUGAUGAAUAAGUGAACGAGGAAUGAAAAGGAAGUUUUACAACCAUGUUUACCUGUCCUUUUUACCAGCAAGAUAGUUUGACAAAGAGCCUUGCACUGCUCCUGCAGUUAAUCCCACCAUACACAACUCUGCAGCCUUGUAAAAAAGGGAAUGGAUUCUCUUUUGCAAGUCAAAUUCUCGAAAUGGGCAACUCCGUUCUAAUAUAUUGUUUGGGAACGACAAGGAGCAAACAUUUAUUAGCUUAAUAUAUAAAAUAAAAAUAAAAAGCAAGUUCCUUUGUUGUGAAAAGAAAAAUAAAAACACGCCUAUCCUUACGAUUCUCCAGCUCCCACCAAACAGUGCAACCAAUUAUGGGAGCCUGCUCUACCAGAAGUUUAUACAAAAAAGCUGGAUCUGCCAGCAUCCUGGGGCAACAGCAGUUAAUACAUAAGAAAUCUGAAAAGAGGCCCAACAUUUUACAACCAAUCAAAAAUCACUGAACCAUUGGAAAGUGAUUUACGUAUAAUUUUUUUUCCAAACUUUGUCCAAAAUGAUAGAAUGAGAGAGGAUGAGAUAGGAUGACACAAGAAACAAAUGUAAAUUGACCGUGUUGGAGAAAAAUCAGUUUUUUAUACAAACUUUUAGGGCCGAUCUCAUACAAUAUAUAGGAAUACGGAAUCUAGAAAUCGUACCUUGAAAAUCUGAGAAGAUGAACAAUCUUUGCUUUUUCCGCUGAAGUGAUUUAGGCUCUCAGAUCACGAUCUGUUACCACCACUCCUGUUAGAUCACGAUCCGUCACCACCACGCCUAUUAGAUCACGAUCCAUCACCACUGAUCUUAUAGACUAUGACUCAGGUUUGAUCCGCACUUGACGUGUGGACGCCUUUAUCACCACUAUAAGCAACUAGAGAGAAAAAUUUUCUCUCAAAAUUAGAGAGAAAAAGUCUUUUUCUCUAAUAUGUAUAAUGUGGCUGCUCUGUCUCUUUUGGGAGAAAAUAAACCUUUUUAUAUCUCUAUUUAGUGGAAACCCUAUGCUCCAUAUUUAUUUAUUUAUUAAUUCUAUUAAAUCCCAUUUGAUUUAAAUUAAAAAAUAAUUAAAACAAAAGUGACGUUACUUGUUUUUGUGUUCUAGGGGCCCGCCUUGUAAAAUAACACAAGGCCCCUUACACACAGGCAUAUUACACUCCCACUAAAUAAUUUAUUUAGGCUUUUAACUCAAAUAGCUAGUUAUCUUGCUUAUUAAUCCAGUAGCAGCGUGGUCAAUUAAACAAGCUAACCCGGGGAUUAUAUGGGUACAUACAAUAGUGGCUACAAUAAUUAGACCUGUAAUUAAACUAGUCCAAUUAUUUAAUUCCAAAUCUACUCCACUAAAAUAUUGGAAUUGACCUCCAUAAUUGUAUGCUAUCUAGGAUAGUGUACUCGAAUAAUAAUUCGACCUAUGCCACAUUGAUUUCUUUACUGCAUAAUCAUUUGUACCACAUCAUUAAUUAAAUCAAUAUCUCAACUGUCCAAUCGAUUUAAUUACAUCUUGUUCCUUGAUACUUACUGGUUUUCUCUAAUGAUCAUUUUCAAACAUACUAAAUAUGUUGACACACUCUGGCCAGAGAAUUCUAUGAUCAAGUGCCGAAAACCCAUCAAGAAUUCUAUAUUGUUAAUUUAUAACUUCAAUACUCAUAAUUACUCCCACCAAGAUACCGGGUAAUCUUAACCACAAGUGUGUGUCGUGCCCAUUGGUAACUCAAAUGGAAUAACAAUUACAAUCAUGAAAUCAUAACUAACUCAAGAUUAAGAUUACAGUAAAAUCAAUGCCUAUGAGAUUUAAUAAGUCUGACAGUCAUUUCAAGGUUAAUUAAAUCUCAUAUGUGAUCCAGCUCAAUGUAGUCAAACUACGUCAGUAAAUUCAUAUAUGAUUAAGACAAGCCAUUCAAUGAAUUUACUACAGUCUAAACAUAAAUAGAACACCCAACUCUAUUUAUCAACUGCGAACUAAAUUUAUUUAAUCAUAAGAUAACUUGUAUUUAUGUCUUCUGUGAAUCCAUAUGAUGAUCACAUAAAUACAUAUAAUAUGAUUAAACAGACCUUAUUCGAUAUAUAUUUAUGCAAUUGAAAAUAUCUUAAAUAUUUUAUUAAUCAAAAAAUAAAUUAAUAUACUUUAAAAGAGCAUAUAAUCCCAACAGACAGCAAGUAGAAAUAUACUUCUGUUAUAUUUGCAACAUCUUCUAGUGUCAAUUUCUUUUCCUUGAGCUCUGUUUCUGCGUGUGCUCAAAUGCAACGCGCAUGACACAAGAUAUAAUUAUCAACAUGAAUUUUUGCCGCCACAUGCAGCACUUGGAAAACUGUUUAUGGUCAUACAGAACUGGAAAAUAAAAAAUCAUUAACAGCGAGAGAAAUCAUUUUAAUCGCAACCAAACAUACACACUAUGAAAAUCUAAAAUUGAAUUUCUCCCAAUGAAUGUGCCUCUUCACAGCAAUUUCACAAGCUAAUCCCAGCAGCCUGCGUCAUGGAGUUUCUCCCAAUGCGUGAGCGAGCCUUGAAUAGUGGCUCAAACUAAAAUGAACUUAUUGUGGACAUUUGAAUUAAAAAUACAUGUAAAAGCAGUUUUCUCAAAGCAAGGUCAAGAUAAGAGAUUAACUUUGCUCCUUAUUUACAUUAAAAAUAACAAACAAUGAAAAACAGAGCUAGAGACGAACUUACCUGUGUGCUGAGACAGAGCUAGAGGGGAAUAUGGGAUAUCUUCUUAGAUUUGGUUUGAGAAACUCCAUCUUCUUCUGAAAGUUCUGAUAGUUCCCUUAACCCAGGCCAAUACAAUUGCAACAGAAACUGCAUGCUUUAAGCAGCAUCUGAUCAUCUCUUGUUAUUUCAAGACAAUAAUAACUUAAUUGCAACACUGUGUGCUUCAACCAUUAACCUUUUCAAUUUCAACACUUCUUUUGUCCCCCGCCCGAUGCCCUUUUAACAAUUCUAUGAAUCAGAUAAAUCAGCCUUCUUCACAAAACUAUGACAAACUUUUCACGGUGUUCCACACAUUCCGGGAUCCGUAUUGAUAACAAACAUUUGAUGAAGACCCUGCCAAUUAAAAUUUAGGUCACAUGUAACAUAAUUUCUUAUUUUUCUUUUGUACACAAAUGCAGACACUUAAGCAAAUUAAGAUUUCAUACCUAAAGCAAAUUAGGAUUCUUUUGACCCUGCAAGUUACAAUUUCACUCCCCAUGUAAUAGUAAAAAUUUGUACACAUAUUUAUAGCAAAUUAAUAUUUCAUACCUCACAAUAUUUAUCAUAACCAUCAAUCUUUAGAAACCACAUGCAGACUUGUUAAACUGUUUAUGGCGCAAAAUAACAGGGAAAUUAGAACAGAUUUUUAAGAAUGAGCGACUAAAUAUUUCAAUGGCAACUAAAAUUACACAUCUUGGAAAUCUGAAACUCAAGUACUCAGAAUGAAUGUGCCUCUUCACAACAAUUAAACAAGCUGGGAACUUUAGUGCAAAUGCUUUUUCAUAAUCUUCAAUUGCAUAAGUCAGUUAGAAUCAAUCUUUCUUAAUCUUUCAAUUCACAUAUGACAGCCUGAUAACACAAGGAAACACUAUUAGUGAAUUGUCAACUGCGACAAAUUUUGGGUAAAAAAUAUCAACUGUAGUUAUCUGCAUAACAUAUAGUGUCAACACCAAAUUCCUUCUUGAUCCGUGGAAGCAUUUCAGCCCACAGACGGUUUGCUUUGUCAAUAUAUAUCAAGCUUUGUAGCUUUUAAGAAAUUGCAGGUGAAAGACUUGGAAUUUUCGAUAGCAACUCAGGAUUCUAUAUUUAAACGAUGGUGUUUGAUGACUUGCUGAUACAAAAGACAUUGCCCCAAGCACUUUUUUACAGGAGCUAAAAUCAAGCCAGUCACUUCCAUUUGUUGCAGUUUUAAUGCAGAAAGAAAAAAAGGGGGGGGGGGAAUCUGCAAGAUAACACUUGUAGUACCGCAUGUUCGCAGAAGCAGAGUUAAAUAUGCUUAAUUUCUCACUCACUCCAAGAACUUUCAUUCUCCCAUAAUUCACUCAAAUGAAACUUUCAUUGGAAGGUCCAAUUAUUAAGGAUUUAGCAUCACUUCAUAUGCUCAACAAUUCAAAUUUAAGGAUGUUAUUUCACAAAAUGGAGGACUCUAUUUGGCUUGUGAACAAUCUUCCUCACCAUCAUCAUCAUUGUCGUACCAGUUGCACUGAACAAUCCUCAUUCUGACAUUUGCCCCAAUUAUCUGAUUACACAAGAAUCCGAAACAACUGUUAGAAAUUUUAAUCUUGAUAUAUAGCCAAAAUGGUGAAUAAGAUGAUGUACUUGAUAAUAAAAACUUGAUUUAAUAAAUAAUUAAGGGGCCGAUAACAAGCACAGAAUCUCAUCGUGUGGGGAAAGCCUUGACAACAGAAGAUGGUGCUUUCAUUCAAGCCGAUAACAAGCCACUAUAUAUGCAGUUAUCAUCUUCAAUUUGCUCAUCUUUGUCUACAGUAUUGCUUCUGCGUUAACUUAAUUAGCGUGCAAGCCACCUGAAAAUGGUUUUAAAUACUGAGAAAAAGUUUGAAUUCGAACAAGUUAAUCAAAUAU